AAUGCGCCGACUCUUCACAGGGUUGGCACUUCUAAAUGUAGUUCUUGACUGUCACCUAAUACAGCAGUUUGGCCUAAUAGUUUUGGCAUUUAUUGUCAAAUCUUUGGCUAACAUUUGCUCCAGGAGACAGCCUUGAUAAAUACAGAAAAACUCAUUCAAAUUUUGAUCUGAAAUCAGGUAGGGCUACCCGCUGAACUUAA
rnacentral:misc_RNA from 1 species